rnacentral:rRNA from 1 species
UGGGGGAUAUUGCACAAUGGGCGAAAGCCUGAUGCAGCGACGCCGCGUGGGGGAUGAAGGCCUUCGGGUUGUAAACUUCUUUUGCUCUGAACAAGGCGCACCAUGGGGUGUGUUGAGUGUAGGGGUUGAUUAGCGCCGGCUAACUACGUGCCAGCAGCCGCGGUAAUACGUAGGGCGCGAGCGUUGUCCGGAAUUAUUGGGCGUAAAGGGUUUGUAGGUGGCUGGUUGCGUCUGUCGUGAAGGCUCAUGGCUUAACUGUGGGUUUGCGGUGGGUACGGGCUGGCUUGAGUGCAGUAGGGGAGGCUGGAAUUCCUGGUGUAGCGGUGGAAUGCGCAGAUAUCAGGAGGAAUACCGGUGGCGAAGGCGGGUCUCUGGGCUGUUACUGACACUGAGGAGCGAAAGCAUGGGGAGCGAACAGG